CCUACGGGAGGCAGCAGUGGGGAAUUUUGGACAAUGGACGCAAGCCUGAUCCAGCCAUUCCGCGUGCAGGACGAAGGCCUUCGGGUUGUAAACUGCUUUUGUACAGAACGAAAAGGUCUCUAUUAAUACUAGGGGCUCAUGACGGUACUGUAAGAAUAAGCACCGGCUAACUACGUGCCAGCAGCCGCGGUAAUACGUAGGGUGCAAGCGUUAAUCGGAAUUACUGGGCGUAAAGCGUGCGCAGGCGGUUAUAUAAGACAGAUGUGAAAUCCCCGGGCUCAACCUGGGAACUGCAUUUGUGACUGUAUAGCUGGAGUGCGGCAGAGGGGGAUGGAAUUCCGCGUGUAGCAGUGAAAUGCGUAGAUAUGCGGAGGAACACCGAUGGCGAAGGCAAUCCCCUGGGCCUGCACUGACGCUCAUGCACGAAAGCGUGGGGAGCAAACAGGAUUAGAUACCCUGGUAGUCCACGCCCUAAACGAUGUCAACUGGUUGUUGGGUCUUCACUGACUCAGUAACGAAGCUAACGCGUGAAGUUGACCGCCUGGGGGAGGACGGCCGCGAGUAGUAACGUACGAAGUAGAGUAGACGGCGUUGAGACGNGCGACGGACGACGACGAGGGAGGAGG
rnacentral:rRNA from 1 species